GAACAAUGUUGCUAGAUCUUUUGAGUGGAAAACAUAUACCUCCAAGCCAUGCACUUGAUCUGAUCCGGGUGAAGAAUUUAUCGAUGUUGAUGGAUUCUUGUUUGGAGGGUGAUUUUUCUAAUGAUGAUGGAACCGAGCUAGUGCGGCUAGCCACCCGUUGUUUACAGUAUGAAGCACGUGAGAGGCCAAAUGCAAAAUCUCUUGUUAAUUCUCUUAUUACCAUUCAGAAAGAAACAGAGGUACCAUCACAUGUUUUGCUGGGAAUUAGACAUGGAGCUGCAACCCCACCCCAACCAUUGGUGUUGACAACAAUGGGUGAAGCAUGUCUGAGAAGAGAUCUGACUGCCCUUCAUGAGAUAUUGCAAAAGACGGGGUACAAGGAUGAUGAAGGAAUUGCCAAUGAGCUUUCUUUCCAAAUGUGGACAAAUCAGAUGCAGGAA
rnacentral:misc_RNA from 1 species